CAGUAGCCGCGGUAAUACGUAGGUGGCAAGCGUUGCCCGGAAUUAUUGGGCGUAAAGGCUCGCAGGCGGUUUCUUAAGUCUGAUGUGAAAGCCCCCGGCUCAACCGGGGAGGGUCAUUGGAAACUGGGAAACUUGAGUGCAGAAGAGGAGAGUGGAAUUCCACGUGUAGCGGUGAAAUGCGUAGAGAUGUGGAGGAACACCAGUGGCGAAGGCGACUCUCUGGUCUGUGACUGACGCUGAGGAGCGAAAGCGUGGGGAGCGAACAGGAUUAGAUACCCGGGUAGUCCCUGUCUCUUAUACC
rnacentral:rRNA from 1 species